rnacentral:rRNA from 1 species
UACGUAGGGGGCAAGCGUUGUCCGGAUUUAUUGGGCGUAAAGAGCGUGUAGGCGGCCAGGUAGGUCCGUUGUGAAAACUCGAGGCUCAACCUCGAGACGUCGGCGGAAACCCUCUGGCUAGAGUCCGGAAGAGGAGAGUGGAAUUCCUGGUGUAGCGGUGAAAUGCGCAGAUAUCAGGAAGAACACCCGUGGCGAAGGCGGCUCUCUGGGACGGUACUGACGCUGAGGAGCGAAAGCGUGGGGAGCGAACAGG